CUGAAUUUUCGAGGUCAGCCCAGACAUUGUGAGGCAUUUGUCAGAGGCCGCAGGAUUUGGGAAGAGGCGUCCGGAGAUAGGAAUGGGCGGCACCUCGGGACGGAAUGACUCCCAUUGCUUCUCCCUCCUUGUCCAGGCAUCAGAGGCAACUCCGCGGCUCCCGCCAACGGUCGGGGCCCCUCGGGGACCAGCCCUUCCCGGGGCUGCUGCCAAAAAACCUCAGUCGGGAGGAGUUGGUUGAUGCGCUGCGGGCAGCCGUGGUGGACCGGAAAGGACCUCUAGUGACGUUGAACAAGCCACAGGGUCUACCAGUGACAGGAAAACCAGGAGAGCUGACAUUGUUCUCAGUGCUGCCAGAGCUGAGCCAGUCCCUAGGGCUCGGGAAGCAGGAGCUUCAGGUUGUCCGAGCAUCUGGGAAGUAAGUGGUAGGGGUGACAGGAAGCUAGGAGUACAGACAUCCAUCUGUGGUGAGGAAACAGCUGCUUGGGGAUAAGCUGAGACAUUUUCCAUGGGAAGGUUUGAGAUCAUAGAGGUGGAUACAAGUACU
rnacentral:sRNA from 1 species